rnacentral:rRNA from 1 species
ACAUGCAAGUCGAGCGGACAGAUGGGAGCUUGCUCCCUGAUGUUAGCGGCGGACGGGUGAGUAACACGUGGGUAACCUGCCUGUAAGACUGGGAUUUUCCGGGAAACCGGGGCUAAUACCGGAUGCUUGUUUGAACCGCAUGGUUCAAACAUAAAAGGUGGCUUCGGCUACCACUUACAGAUGGACCCGCGGCGCAUUAGCUAGUUGGUGAGGUAACGGCUCACCAAGGCAACGAUGCGUAGCCGACCUGAGAGGGUGAUCGGCCACACUGGGACUGAGACACGGCCCAAACUCCUACGGGAAGCAGCAGUAAGGAAUCCUCCGCAAUGGACGAAAGUCUGACGGAGCAC